rnacentral:lncRNA from 1 species
UUAAUUCCCAAAUAAUCUUGAAAUUUCCUGUUUACUUCAAGAAAAAGUUUUGAAAACCUGUGCAAAAUGACCUUUCUCAUUUCUGUUGCUGUAUUGUUACAGCUAUUGGGGAAAAUAUUUUGUUUAGAACUUAAUAUUCUACUGAUAAAGAUGGAGAUGGGCACUAACUGCUGUGGUUAUGCACUCCCUGACUGGCCAACAAGAUGGAGUUAUGGCAAAAAGAUGUCUCUAUAAUUAGGGAGUUUUUCAAAACUGUAUUAAAGCUUAGAUGUUGCAUCAAAUCAUACCUACGUGUGACUUUGUGUGCAUUUAAGUAUUGAUGAGUAUUGAUUUUUACUGUUGCCUCACUGCCUUUCAUUAUUUUGACUUUUUGUUCUUCCUGUUGUGUAUUGUUUUUCUGUCCCAUACAACAUUGGGGCUUAAAAGAUAUUUUGAAUCAUUUAAUUUGUUCUUCCUUUCAUAGAGAUUAGUGCUGCACUGUGUGCUGGUUUCAUGCAAUUUUACUCUCAUUUUCUUUCUCAUCAUCCUGACAUCCGAGCAACAUCUAUGUGCAACUGAAGGAUGUGUCACCUGAUUCAGCUCAGAUGCUUCAGAAGUAGUUAUCAACAUAAAAAGGAGUUUUGGGGUGAGGUCUGGAAUCAUGGAUGGGAAUUCUAACUACCUGCUCCGUCUCCCUGGAUUACUAAACUUGUUACUUGCCUCAGAGUUUAUGUGGGUUGAACUUGUGUCCCCCUCAGAUGCCCUAUUGAGUCAAUCUGCACAUUUUGGUGGAAAUACAACAAGCAGUCAACAGGCAGCUGGAGCAGCGGAAAGGACAAUGCUAAAUUAA